AUAAGCUAAUAAGAGCGCACGGAGGAUGCCUAGGCGCCAGGAGCCGAAGAAGGACGUGGCGAACAACGAAACGGCCUCGGGGAGCGGUAAGCACGCUUUGAUCCGGGGAUGUCCGAAUGGGGGAACCCGGCUGCGGUAAUGCGCAGUCACUCUUACCUGAAUCCAUAGGGUAAGAAGAGGCAGACCGAGGGAACUGAAACAUCUAAGUACCUCGAGGAAGAGAAAACAAAAGUGAUUCCGUCAGUAGCGGCGAGCGAACGCGGAGGAGCCUAAACCAAGGGGCUUGCCCCUUGGGGUUGUGGGACGUCUUAUACGGAGUUACAAAAGAGUUGGGUAGGCGAAGAGGUCUGGAAAGGCCAGCCAUAGCGGGUAACAGCCCCGUAGCCAAAAGUCAGCUCCCUCCAAGACGGAUCCCGAGUACCGCGGGACACGAGAAAUCCCGUGGGAAUCUGGCAGGACCAUCUGCUAAGGCUAAAUACUUCCUGGCGACCGAUAGCGAAGCAGUACCGUGAGGGAAAGGUGAAAAGAACCGCGGGAGCGGAGUGAAAUAGAACCUGAAACCGUGUGCUUACAAGAAGUCAGAGUCCGUUAAGGGAUGAUGGCGUGCCUUUUGUAGAAUGAACCGGCGAGUUACGUUUGCGUGCGAGGUUAAAGUGAGAAGCUGGAGCCGAAGCGAAAGCGAGUCUGAAUAGGGCGACAAGUACGUAGGCGUAGACCCGAAACCGUGUGAUCUACCCCUGUCCAGGGUGAAGGUGCGGUAACACGCACUGGAGGCCCGAACCCACGAACGUUGAAAAGUUCGGGGAUGAGGUGGGGGUAGCGGAGAAAUUCCAAUCGAACUCGGAGAUAGCUGGUUCUCCCCGAAAUAGCUUUAGGGCUAGCCUCGGAAGAAAGAGUCAUGGAGGUAGAGCACUGAUUGGGUGCGGGGCCCGCCAAGGGUUACCAAGUCCAGUCAAACUCCGAAUGCCAUGCACUCGUAUCCGGGAGUCAGACGGUGAGUGCUAAGAUCCAUCGUCAAGAGGGAAACAGCCCAGACCAUCGGUUAAGGUCCCGAAGUGUGUGUUAAGUGGGAAAGGAUGUGGAGUUGCCCAGACAACCAGGAUGUUGGCUUAGAAGCAGCCACCAUUUAAAGAGUGCGUAAUAGCUCACUGGUCGAGUGACUCUGCGCCGAAAAUGUAACGGGGCUAAACACACCACCGAAGCCAUGGCUUCAACUAUGUUGAUGGGUAGGGGAGCGUUGUGUACGCUGAGAAGGUAUACCGUAAGGAGUGCUGGAGAGUACACAAGUGAGAAUGCCGGUAUAAGUAACGAAAAGACGGGUGAGAAUCCCGUCCGCCGAAAACCUAAGGGUUCCUGAGGAAGGCUCGUCCGCUCAGGGUAAGUCGGGACCUAAGGCGAGGCCGAAAGGCGUAGUCGAUGGACAACAGGUUGAAAUUCCUGUACCACCGUAAGCCGUUAUGAGCAAUGGGGUGACGCAGCAGGGUAGUGACGCGGACCGAUGGAAUGGUCCGUCCAAGCAGUGAGGCUUGUGUGUAGGCAAAUCCGCACACUUUAAGGCUGGGCUGUGAUGGGGAGGGAAAAUUGCAGUACCGAAGGUCAUGAUCUCACACUGCCGAGAAAAGCCUCUAGCCAGGCAAUGGUGCCCGUACCGUAAACCGACACAGGUAGGUAGGAAGAGAAUUCUAAGGCGCGCGGAAGAACUCUCGUUAAGGAACUCGGCAAAAUGACCCCGUAACUUCGGGAGAAGGGGUACCCCGGUAGCGUGAAUAGCGCGAGGGGGUCGCAGUGAAAAGGCCCAAGCGACUGUUUAGCAAAAACACAGGUCUGUGCGAAGCCGCAAGGCGAAGUAUACGGGCUGACGCCUGCCCGGUGCUGGAAGGUUAAGGGGAGUGGUUAGGGGCAACCCGAAGCUAUGAACCGAAGCCCCAGUAAACGGCGGCCGUAACUAUAACGGUCCUAAGGUAGCGAAAUUCCUUGUCAGGUAAAUUCUGACCCGCACGAAUGGCGUAACGACUUGGGCGCUGUCUCAACGAGAGAUCCGGUGAAAUUUUAAUACCUGUGAAGAUGCAGGUUACCCGCGACAAGACGGAAAGACCCCAUGGAGCUUUACUGCAGCUUGAUAUUGAACUUGGGUACGGUCUGUACAGGAUAGGUGGGAGCCUUUGAAGCAUGAGCGCCAGCUUGUGUGGAGGCGACGUUGGGAUACCACCCUGAUCGUAUCUAGGUUCUAACCUACUCCCGUGAAUCCGGGAGAGGGACCGUGUCAGGCGGGCAGUUUGACUGGGGCGGUCGCCUCCUAAAGAGUAACGGAGGCGCCCCAAGGUUCCCUCAGAAUGGUUGGAAAUCAUUCGAAGAGUGCAAAGGCAUAAGGGAGCUUGACUGCGAGACAUACAAGUCGAGCAGGGACGAAAGUCGGGCUUAGUGAUCCGGUGGUACCGCAUGGAAGGGCCAUCGCUCAACGGAUAAAAGCUACCCUGGGGAUAACAGGCUUAUCUCCCCCAAGAGUCCACAUCGACGGGGAGGUUUGGCACCUCGAUGUCGGCUCAUCGCAUCCUGGGGCUGAAGUAGGUCCCAAGGGUUGGGCUGUUCGCCCAUUAAAGCGGUACGCGAGCUGGGUUCAGAACGUCGUGAGACAGUUCGGUCCCUAUCUGUCGCGGGCGCAGGAAAUUUGAGAGGAGCUGUCCUUAGUACGAGAGGACCGGGAUGGACGUACCGCUGGUGUACCAGUUGUUCCGCCAGGAGCACCGCUGGGUAGCCAAGUACGGACGGGAUAAGCGCUGAAAGCAUCUAAGCGUGAAGCCCCCCUCAAGAUGAGAUUUCCCAACUAGUAAGACCCCUGGUAGACGACCAGGUUGAUAGGUCCGGCGUGGAAGUGCAGCAAUGCAUG
rnacentral:rRNA from 1 species